UGACCUCAAAUCAGGCAAGAAUACC
rnacentral:rRNA from 3 species